CUAAAGAAAAGAAUCGGCAUUACGAUUUGAAGGGUGCGGGGAGGAAAGUCCAGGCACUAUAGAGUAGCGCACCUCGCGUAAGCGGGGCAAGGGCAACCUAGGGAAAGUGCAACAGAAACAUACCGCCCUGAGCAAAGCGCGAAAGCGCUGAGUCGAAGGGUAAGGGUGAAAUCGUGGGGUAAGAGCCCACGCGAGUCCAUAGUAAUAUGGCUUGGUGAAAACCCUGCGCAGUGCAAGUUGGGUGGGUCCUAAAUAUCAUCAAAGGUCUACUCGGUCUGAUGUCCAAGGAUCUCAACGCGUAGAUAGAUGCUGCCAAAACAAAACCUGGCUUAUCGAUUACUUAGGGCU
rnacentral:RNase_P_RNA from 2 species